GACGAACGCUGGCGGCGUGCUUAACACAUGCAAGUCGAACGGAAAGGCCCUGCUUUUGUGGGGUGCUCGAUUGGCGAACGGGUGAGUAACACGUGAGUAACCUGCCCUUGACUUUGUGAUAACUUCAGGAAACUGGGGCUAAUACCGGAUAGGAUCUCCUGCUGCAUGGUGGGGGUUGGAAAGUUUCGGCGGUUGGGGAUGGACUCGCGGCUUAUCAGCUUGUUGGUGGGGUAGUGGCUUACCAAGGCUUUGACGGGUAGCCGGCCUGAGAGGGUGACCGGCCACAUUGGGACUGAGAUACGGCCCAGACUCCUACGGGAGGCAGCAGUGGGGAAUAUUGCACAAUGGGCGGAAGCCUGAUGCAGCAACGCCGCGUGCGGGAUGACGGCCUUCGGGUUGUAAACCGCUUUCGCCUGUGACGAAGCGUGAGUGACGGUAAUGGGUAAAGAAGCACCGGCUAACUACGUG
rnacentral:rRNA from 1 species